GUUCGAAAUAUCGCACUCUUACGAAGAAUAUCUGUCUUUUUUUACGAGAAAUAGAGGCUGUGUAGCUGAUGGUUUUGUGUGGUUAGUUUUAUGUGCUUCCCUGGUGAAAAAGGUGCAUCUACUAGCUACACAGGCUUUAGGUUUGUUCAAACCUUGGCUUGAAGAUCAUCUUGACUGGCUUGGGAGAGGUUUAGCAGAGCUUGUAACUCCUCAUUAUCCAGGUGCAACUAAAUCAUAACAUUAGUCAAUCAACUGAUAUUGCAGUACAAUUCCAAGUAAACAAAAAUACAAGCUAUAUGAAUACAAGCAAUAUGAAUGGCAAGCAGGUAAAAACGUAUCUGCAGCAAAACUAAAUUAGGGGUAAAACAGGAUUUUUAAGGAAAAGGGCACUGGGUAAUAAGAGGUUCUCCUUUGAAAUUACUCCAUCACUCAAAGAAGGGUUUCACUUGCACACAUAUAGUUAACAAAAAACACUGGGAUGCCAUUUGACCAUUUUGCUGUCAGCCAAUAUGUCCAAUAUGUCCAAUAUGUUGGCUUCUUUAAUCACCUUUUAAGGUGAAUGCCUUUAAAUUCAAAUCACACACUGUGCCCAAAUAAAUCAUGCAUCUGCUGGUGUGCAUGUGUCUUAAAAUCGAGGGUCAUAGAAA